CUACAACGACCGGGUGACGGUGCCCCGGCGACGGGGUGAAAAGGGAAUGCGGUGAGGGGUCCGAGGCCCCGAUUCCGCGGCUGCCCCCGCAACUGUGAGCGGCGAGCGCCCGCCAAGCGCCACCGGAGCGAUCCGGGAAGGCGGCGGGCGCGCCGAGCCGCGAGCCAGGAGACCUGCCGUCACGACAGGAUCCCGC
rnacentral:ncRNA from 24 species